rnacentral:tRNA from 1 species
GGACUGGUUAGCUCAGUGGGUUGAGCGUGGUGCUGAUAACACUGAGAUCACGGGUUUGAUUCCCAUUCGAUCCC